UACGGGGGGGUGCGAGCGUUGUCCGGAAUCACUGGGCGUAAAGGGCGCGUAGGUGGUCUGAUAAGUCGGCUGUGAAAGUCAUGGGCUCAACCCAUGAAAGCCGGCCGAUACUGUCGGACUAGAGUCCGGAAGAGGCGAGUGGAAUUCCCGGUGUAGCGGUGAAAUGCGCAGAUAUCGGGAGGAACACCAAUGGCGAAGGCAGCUCGCUGGGACGGUACUGACGCUGAGGCGCGAAAGCGUGGGGAGCAAACAGG
rnacentral:rRNA from 1 species